UACGUAGGGGGCAAGCGUUGUCCGGAAUCAUUGGGCGUAAAGAGCGUGUAGGCGGUCCGAUAAGUCCGCUCUGAAAGCCCGGGGCUCAACCCCGGGAGGCGGGCGGAUACUGUCGGGCUAGAGUCCGGAAGAGGCAAGUGGAAUUCCUGGUGUAGCGGUGAAAUGCGCAGAUAUCAGGAGGAACACCGGUGGCGAAGGCGGGUCUCUGGGCCGAAACUGACGCUGAGGAGCGAAAGCGUGGGGAGCAAACAGG
rnacentral:rRNA from 1 species